rnacentral:lncRNA from 1 species
GCCAGAUAUAGGUGAUGGGGGAUGGAGGCAGCAAACCACAUUGCCAUGUGUGUAUCUGUCCAACAAUCCUGCAUGAUCUGCAUAUGUACCCCAGAACCCAAAGUGCCAUUAUAUAUAUAAGAAGUGAGUUUUUUCAUUUUAUCACAUUUUAUGUAAGAUUUUUAUUUGUCUUUAUUUUCUCCUUCUGGAGCUUUGAUUAGGUAUUUGUCAGAUGUUCUCAUUCUAUUGUCCAAGUUUCUUAACCCCUGGCUCACUUUUCCCAACUUUUUCUCUCUCUGUUCUGCAUCUAGGUAAUUUCUUCUUGUAUGUAUUUAAAAUUCACCACUAGUUAUCUAUUUUAAGCUCACUAAUAGUUCUCUAUUCACUAACCAAAUGGAUAAUUAUUGCACUAAAAAUGGAGGUGAAAUUCCUAUAAUAUAGCAUUAACCUCUGUAGGGUGGUAUUUAGGAAUUCUCAACAAACCAUCCGAGUUAGGUAAAGGCUAUCACCUUUAUUUAGUCCUAAAACAUUUUUAUAGGUCCCAAAGAAGACCCUAUGAUCAUCUAGCAGUCACUCUUCAUUUCCCUCUCUCCCCAUUCCCUGGCGAUCACUUACAUGCAUUCUGUCUUUACAGAUUUACCUAUUACGGGAAUUUUAUAUAAAUGGAAUCACACAAUAUGUAACCUCUUGUGUCUGUCUUCUUUCACUAGCAUCAUGCUAUUGAUGUUCAUCUCUGCUGCAGUGUGUGGCUCUUCCCCACCCACUCUACGGGGCUGCUCUGUCCAUUCUCCAAGUCUCCACGUAAACGCCACUUCUCCUGGAACACCUUCACUGGUAUCUUGGACUGGGUAGGACUCUUCCUAUGAACUUCUCGUAAUGAUGCUCAUCGCACCUCAUGCGAAUUUCUCUUUCUGUUGGUUUUCCCCACAAGAUUGUAAGGCUUGUGCAAAUAAACACAGUACCUCUUUUAUUCAUUAACUCUAUCCCAUGCGCCUAGUUUAAGGCCUAGCAAAUAUAUUUGUUAAAUGAAUGAAUGAGGAUGAUGACUUGUUAAAAAAAAUUGGGGUCAACUUAUUAAAAAAAUGGAAUAGAGUAAAAGAAAAGAACACAACUGAAAUACAACAAAGUGUAGAGAAACGAGUGUUUGGGAAUGAGAAUGGGAUGAUAGGAUCACGGGGAAAGUUAAUAAGCAGAUGCCUUAAGGCAGGAGCAAGCUUGGCGUUUCU